rnacentral:lncRNA from 1 species
UAGGUGUAGAUGCCAAUUUUUUUUUUUUUAUAAUAACUAAUGAAUCAAUUUAGAUGGGUUAUGAUCGGUAAAUAAUUUCAUCUUUUGAUCAUACCAGAAAAAAAGCAAAUGGAAAAUUUCAAAAGUUCAUAUCCACGAGACUAUGACCAUAUGGUCAGUUUAUUUGUAUUAUCAACUAUCAACAAUCAUGCUUAUAUAUACCAAUAGUCAUCUUUAGUAAAUAUACUCGAAGCUUGAAAAGUUUUAUAAUAAGAUCUUAGUGUUUGCAAUACAUCUCCAAGUUUGUAUUAGAUCUUGAUAUAUUGUGAAUUUUGUUCAUAAUCAUUUGUAAAACAGACUUUUCUUUGUACCAAUCACACAAUAAAUAUACAGAUAUCAUACCCAAAUAAACUUCGCUUCAAAGAUCAACAAGACAUACAUCAACAAUCUCGAACCAUGAGCUUAGAAAACUCAAUAUAAAAGUAACGAUUAUAAUUCAAAGAGAGAUAGCGACGAUAUCCAAAAUAUAGAGAUAAAAAAUCCUAAAAUUAAAGCCAAUUAAAUGUGAGGAACCAUAAAUCCAGCUGACCUAAUAAGGUGGAAAGAGAGAGGAGAAGAAGGCAGAUGGCUAGCCGCAACGAUUGGACCGCCACCAAUGACGACUACAUGUUUGUUAGAAGAUUUAUUAGAAGAGAUCAUGUGUGGACGAUUUAUUAGGAGAUUAGAGAGAGAGGAGAAUAGAGAAGAUAUUAUGGUAGAAGAUUUGUUAGAAGAGAUCAUGUGUAGAAACUGUGAUUUUUUUGGAAGAGGAGAGAGUAGAGAGAGAAAAGAAUAGAACGACAACGAGAGGAAGAAGAAAGGAAAAAGAGAGUGAGUACACAAAAUUAGUUUUAACCUAAAAGAUGUCAGACCAAUUCUUAACCACAAGAUCUCCAAUUAUUUAGUUACGAUCGAACGGCUGGUAGCGUGAUACAUAAACAUUUUUAUUCUUUUUAGUUAUGUUCUCUUUAGUCUCUGAGGGUAAUUUUGUCCGAAUUUGACAUCUACGUACAGUACAAAAGUAACCCAUAAACGGUGCCUAAACUUAUAAGGGUGUCAAAGUGAAAAGAAAGUCACCGAAACGGUGUCCCUACGCAACAUCCUUUAGAAAUCAUCUGCUAACUCCUUGUUAGAG